GAAAAACAAAACAAAACAAAAACAAACAAAAAAAACACUAUUUCUUGAGGCACUGCUAUUUUCAUUUUACAGUCAAGAAAGUCAAAAAUUUAGAAAGGGGCAAGUUCAAGAUCUAAGAAGAAUGAAGAGAGCAUAAGCUACCUUAUUUUCCACUGAGUGCCUUUUCUGCAGUGUGAAACAUCAAACUUUAUUACCAUUGACAGCAAUUAUAGCUUAAUUGAAUAAAUAAGGAAGAAGAAGAUUAUUGAUUAGCAGAGGAGCCUUUUUUUCUUUUUUUUUUUUUUUCUUUUCAGAUAUUUUGGAAUUCUUCUAUGAAGGGAAUGCAGAGGAGAAACAAUGAAUAACUGUAUUGAAUACACAUCGCCAACUCUACUCCUUUCCGUUGAGUCAAAGCUGAUUGCCAGUCCCUGUGGCAAAGUGUGUGUGUUGCAAUCUGGAGUUGCAGAGGGAUGGAGUUACACCAGAGACAAAGGUGUGGAGUCUGACCUCUCCAGCAGCAGAUUCCAGUCCCUGAACAGAGAUGGUUCACAACAACAUGGAGGCAACCUGCUUUUACAAGGAUUUCUAUCUGAAUGAACAGAUAUUACUUAUGGAACAGACUACUUCGGCAGACUGUAGAAGAACUGUGUGUAAUUAACACCAAAAAGAAAUUGAUUUGAGAAGACAAAGGCUCUCAUCAAAGGAUAACAUGGUAAGGAAAAAGACAAGGCUGUUGAUAAAACUUUAAUGGGAACUGGCAAAAAAGAACCGCCACAGCUGUAAAUUUUGGCAUAAUGUUGAGUGUUAUUAGAAGAGCAGAGUCAAACUGUGCUAUGUUAAGAAAUUUGCUUCUCUUCUAUGAUUU
rnacentral:lncRNA from 1 species